rnacentral:rRNA from 1 species
UACGUAGGGCGCAAGCGUUGUCCGGAAUUACUGGGCGUAAAGCGCGUGUAGGCGGCUUGGCAAGUCGGAUGUGAAAGCCCACGGCUCAACCGUGGAAGCGCAUCCGAAACUGCUUCGCUCGAGUCUCGGAGAGGAAGGUGGAAUGCUUGGUGUAGAGGUGAAAUUCGUAGAUAUCAAGCAGAACACCUGCGGCGAAGGCGGCCUUCUGGACGAUGACUGACGCUGAGACGCGAAAGCGUGGGGAGCAAACAGG